CACCCGUAAUUCCGAACUUGAGU
rnacentral:miRNA from 1 species